UACGUAGGUGGCGAGCGUUGUCCGGAUUUACUGGGCGUAAAGAGCGCGCAGGCGGUCGUUCAAGUCGGAUGUGAAAGCCCCCGGCUCAACUGGGGAGGGUCAUUCGAUACUGAUCGACUCGAAGGCAGGAGAGGGAAGCGGAAUUCCCGGUGUAGUGGUGAAAUGCGUAGAUAUCGGGAGGAACACCUGUGGCGAAGGCGGCCCCCUGGUUGGAUACUGACGCUGAUACGCGAAAGCGUGGGGAGCAAACAGG
rnacentral:rRNA from 1 species